rnacentral:rRNA from 1 species
AGAGUUUGAUCCUGGCUCAGAUCGAACGCUGGCGGCAGGCUUAACACAUGCAAGUCGAGCGGAGAUGAGGUGCUUGCACCUUAUCUUAGCGGCGGACGGGUGAGUAAUGCUUAGGAAUCUGCCUAUUAGUGGGGGACAACAUUCCGAAAGGAAUGCUAAUACCGCAUACGUCCUACGGGAGAAAGCAGGGGAUCUUCGGACCUUGCGCUAAUAGAUGAGCCUAAGUCGGAUUAGCUAGUUGGUGGGGUAAAGGCCUACCGAGGCGACGAUCUGUAGCGGGUCUGAGAGGAUGAUCCGCCACACUGGGACUGAGACACGGCCCAGACUCCUACGGGAGGCAGCAGUGGGGAAUAUUGGACAAUGGGGGGAACCCUGAUCCAGCCAUGCCGCGUGUGUGAAGAAGGCCUUAUGGUUGUAAAGCACUUUAAGCGAGGAGGAGGCUACUGAGACUAAUACUCUUGGAUAGUGGACGUUACUCGCAGAAUAAGCACCGGCUAACUCUGUGCCAGCAGCCGCGGUAAUACAGAGGGUGCGAGCGUUAAUCGGAUUUACUGGGCGUAAAGCGUGCGUAGGCGGCUUUUUAAGUCGGAUGUGAAAUCCCCGAGCUUAACUUGGGAAUUGCAUUCGAUACUGGGAAGCUAGAGUAUGGGAGAAGAUGGGGAGAAAUCCAGGUGUAGCGGUGAAAUGCGUAGAGAUCUGGA